rnacentral:lncRNA from 1 species
GCACUGGGGUUUGAGAGGAAAAAAUGGCAGCUGGUUGCCCAGAGAGGAGAAGAGAAAGAGCUGUUUUUCUUGUUUAGUUUUUGUCUAAAUAACGCUAAUGUGUGAGAGCAGAUUUGUCAUCUCCAUUUUGAAAUGCAUUUUUUUGACUGGGCCUGGCCACUGCUGUUCUGCAUUUCUUUGUGCUGAGGCCCGUGGAUGCUAUCACAGCUCUCUAGAGAUGCUGGAAAAAGACUGCAGCAAGCUCGAUUCUCUGGAUGGGAAUGGCUUCUUCCCAGGUGAAAGAGGGACCAAGCUUAACAAGCUCUUCCCUUGAGAGGUACUCCAUUCGAGGGGAGGGCUGUGUGCAAUGCUCUUCAGGCAGGUCAAACUCUCAAAACAAGUGGAUUGAAGGGAAAGAACUUUCUCAUUUCUGGGCAAUCGGCAUCCCCGUGGCUCUUUUGACAGUUCCCAAUGCCUCCUGCCUUCUUUAAGCAAGGCUGGGGGAUCCUUGAACAUUUUGCCAACUCCUGUUGACACAGAAAUCCUUUUUCCUUAUUUGGCAGUGGAUCCCAGCUCCAAGCCAUCUCAGAAGCCACAUGGGUGCGUGGUUCUUCCUUGUCCUUGUCAACAGAGAUCAAGGUAGCCAUCUUGGAUUACUCCAAUAUUCUGUCUGUCUUGCUAGUCUGUAACUUUUGAGUUCACGAGAUCCUGAGCUGUGGGGCCUAGAAGUGCAUCCCACCAGUCUGGCUUAUCUGUUUCUUCUGAGUGGGCUGAUAUUUUUAAGGUUCGAGUUUGUUUUGUUUUGCUUCUGUAUCUCCUUAUCUGACCCUAGCUGGCCCAAGCUGAUCCAUUCACAACAACCUUACAUUACCCACAGCAUAUGCUGGGUGUCAGAUAUGCUGUUCCAUGACUGGCUUGACUUAGGGCUACAGGAUUCCAGUCCUUUGGCCAGUUCUUUUUCCUGUUAUUAGAAGAUGAAUGAGGGCUGGAAUGCCUCAGCAACAGUGUGUGCCUGAUAAGGAAGAAGUCCUAGGUUCAAAGCCAGCACUGUUAAAAAUAAAUAAAUAAAACAGCACAAAAAGAUAGAUAGUAGCAGAAUGCAGUCUAUGGUUUUGAUAUUUUUCUUUUGCUAUAAUUUUGCUUGUGCAUAUUUGUGUGUGUGUGUGUAUUUUGCUUGAAUGUAUUGUGCAUCAUGUGCAGGUCAGGUAUUCAGAAAAGGGACCCAGGUCUUUUGGAGCUGAAGUUACAGAAGGUUGUGAGCUGCCAUGUCAGUACUGGAGAUGGAACCUGGGUCCCCUGAGAGCAGCUCAUGCUUUUAACUGUUGCUCCGUGUCUCUCCAGCCGCUGUGAUUUCAUUCUUGUUACAAAUGUCUGAAAUACAGCUCAAACCCUUUGUCAUCAAAGAUUUUGUUUGUUUGUUUUCAAGUCUCUUGAGGUUAGCCCAAGCUUACCUCAAACUCAUAGCAACCCUCCUACCUUAGUCCCUUUGGUGUUGGGAUUACAGGGAGCACUUCCAACACACAGUCAAAUUCUCUCUCUCUCUUUUUUAAUUGGAUAUUUUCUUUAUUUACAUUUCAAAUGUUUUCCCCUUUCUGGGUCUCCCUUCGGAAACCCCCAUCCCAUCUCCCGCACCCCCACCAUCAAAUUCUUAAAGAGUUGAUCUAUUUCAGAGUUCCUUGAUCUUGCACCAUUUAGGGACAGAUAAUUAUUUUUUGUGUGACACUGUCCUGUCUAUUGUAAAAUGUUUGUCAGUGCUCUUGGCCUCCACCCACUAGGGACUGUGGAAUCCCCUAACUGUGACAGCCAAAAGCACCUCUGCCAAUUGUCCCCAGGGACAGUGGAGAAAAACUGAGCUUCAGUGCACACAGAAAACUUAUGAUAUGAAGUGUGCCCUAAAGGCAAGCGUUGGUUGCUACAGAGAAGCAAACACUCUGAAACCCUUGGAUGGUACUUCUCCUGGCACUUAAGAUGGCAAGAUCCUCUCAGCAUGUGGGGUAGCCUGUAAGUUCAGGCCAGCAUUUAGACCAACUGGGGUGAAAUGCCAGGAGCCAAAUGAAGUGUAUUUCCUGUUGAAUUUCAUUCAUCCAUUCUCCAAAUAUUUAUUGAAGGAAUGCUAUGUGUCAAGUUCUGGGGACCUGAUGAUGAAGGGGAGACCUAGGGUUUUUGUUUUUGUUUUUGUUUUUUUUGUUUUUUUUUUGAGGAGAACCAUGGCUAAAAUCUGUUGCAUAUCCUCAAACACUAACAUAGGUUUCAUUUGCAUGUGACUAUGACUCUGAGGUAAAUGUUUCCAUUUAUUUUCCUUCAGGGAUCAUAUAUGGAUCCUGACUCUACAUAUGCUCCCUUCCCCCACUUUGUCUAGCUAGAGCUUGGUAUAAUCAUGGUUGCUGAGAUAACGGAAGGACUGGGGCAGCUGAAUGCUUGCUGAUCUACUGUCCUCUAAGAGUCAUUACCUCGUUUGGUAUUUCCUCCUGAUUCUUACCUGCAGGCUGCUGCCAGGAGAGGGAUGUAAAAGCUAGGACGCUGAACAUUUUUGCUGUAUUCCUUUCCUUCCCACUGCAUUGGGAAAUCUUCCUGUUCAGGUGCUUGCUAGACUGGCUGAAUCAGAACAUGUGGACCUCUAGGCUCUGGAGACUCAAGGUGCUCCUGUGACCAUAUCAUUAAAUAACUAUUAUUGU